GCCUAGCUGGCUUAGCUGGUAGAGCAGGUGACUCCUGAUCUCGAAGUUGUGGGUUUGAGCCCCAUAAUGGGUG
rnacentral:tRNA from 1 species